rnacentral:rRNA from 1 species
AAGCUCGUAGUUGAAUCUUGGGCCUGGCUGGCCGGUCCGCCUCACCGCGUGUACUGGUCCGGCCGGGUCUUUCACUCUGCGGAACCACAUGCCCUUCAGUGGGUGUGGCGGGGAAGCAGGACUUUUACUUUGAAAAAAUUAGAGUGCUCUAAGCAGGCCAAUGCUCGAAUACAUUAGCAUGGAAUAAUAAAAUAGGACGCGCGGUUCUAUUUUGUUGGUUUCUAGGACCGCCGUAAUGAUGAAUAGGGACAGUCGGGGGCAUCAGUAUUCAAUUGUCAGAGGUGAAAUUCUUGGAUUUAUUGAAGACUAACUACUGCGAAAGCAUUUGCCAAGGAUGUUUUCAUUAAUCAGGAACGAAAGUUAGGGGAUCGAAGACGAUCAGAUACCGUCGUAGUCUUAACCAUAAACUAUGCCGACUAGGGAUCGGACGAUGUUAUUUUUUGACUCGUUCGGCACCUUA